CAUUUGUUUUUAGUUUUUUGUGUGACACUUAGAUUAUUAUUAUAAAUAGCUGCAACUCCGACUCCUCUGCCAUGUAGACGGGGCUGGUGUAUGUAACUAUACCCAGGAGGAUUUGCUUCAUUUAACGCUUGGUUUCCCACAAGCAUCGGCUGCUAAAAGAUCAUGGAUGAACUGCAUCAGAUUCUUGAUCGAGGGAACUCUCACUUCAAACCUGACCUGUAGACCCGCUGGGGGACCUUUUAUGAGAAGGCACAGUUUUAUAGGGUGUUAAUGAAAGCACCACAGUAGGUCAAAGUGAAGCACUCACUUGCCUUGAUAAAGGCUUUACCAGAAAUGUUCCCUUCACCUGUGGCUCCACCCAAGAAGUUAGGACAUGCAAGUGAAGCUAUGUUGCACGUUCUUGAGAAGAUCCAAACACCUUUCUUCAGAUGACACCACUCAUCAGCCCUGUCAUGAUUGUCUGCAAAACAAAUUGCUUACUGGCGAUUGGAACCAUGCCUGUGGUGACCUUCCCAAAAGAGGACAUCUGUGCUAGUGUGAUGUAUCUGUUUUCUGGCAUCUGAAACUACUGAGAUUCUAUAGAACCAGGCAAGAUAUUAACCGUACAGGUGAUGGACAAAACCAUGGCCAGAAAUGUUUUUGUUGCAUUCUUUGUUUUGCCCAUAUGCAGCUCAUGGAGUUGUGGUGACAAAAAUGUAAUGAAAUGUUUUUAUUUAUUUCUCUCUUAUUAUAAGCACAAUAUUCUGAUUUUAUUUAAAAAAUGCUAGGGUAUAAAGCUUUGUUUCAAAAUAGUUGUCAACCACUUGAUUAUAAUUUAGGCAUAUUUUACUAUAAAUUGAAAAAAUAAUUCUUAAAACAUUUCUUAGUAUUUAGAUGUGCUUGUUUUUAGUCUAGCUUUACUGGUUUUAAGAUAUAAUUCCUACAUAUACAGCCUUAUUUAAAGACAAUGACAUUAGCCUUUGCUAAAUUUAAGUACUUUUCCUAUAUAUUGAGAAAAUAAUUAUUUAAUCUUUUGUUUGUAUUAAGAACAUUUACUUGUUUUUAGUCUGGCUGCACUAGUUUUAAAACGUCUGUGGGUUCUUUGAGACUAGGUAUAUUUACUUGUUUUAAAAAAAUCUUGGCAAGUUGUAUUUUCCUGUUCUGUUGCUUAUUUUAAGUAAAAUGUACCCCGUUUUAUUACUUUUUUUUUCUUGGUUUUGAAAGCUGAGGGACUGGUAGACGAGUGGCUGUAUGUAAAUUGGGUAAAGUUUUAGACCUAUUAUUGAUCCUUGUUUCCAAUCCUGUUGUGCCAUUGCACUUUGGUUAUUUUGACGUAACACAACAAGUAUAACCAUAUCUAGACAGAGGUGAGGAGUACAGUCAAGGUAAAGGACUAAUAGGCAGACAGAUUGAAGCACCUCACUUUGCAGUGGUUCCAGUAUUUCGUAAGGCACAGUGGUCAAUUUGACGUAAAGCAGUUGAUAGUACACCAAUGGAAGUGGAAGCCUUAACUUUGAAAAGUCUAAUUAUAACAAUAAUCACUAAUAAGUCAGAAAGCAGUCUCCCUGAAAGAUUAGGAAGUCUUAGAGUAAGAGGAGUGUAAAAUGACAACUACACUGGUAGAGGUGUUGGGAGCUAAACAUCCACUAAGCAGUGUUGGGAGCUACACAUCCACUAAGGACACACUGGCUUUAUGUACAAACUAUAGCACAUUCACACGCCUGACCAAACAGUGGCUAUUAACAAAGCAAACUUGUGAGCACUAAAUGAUUUUGAUAUGAACAAUGUAGACUGUGAGUGAGUGAGUGAGUGAGUGAGUGAGUGAGUGAGUGCUAGAUUCAUGAAGUGGAGAGUGUUUUAAUGAUGUGAGUGAAGUAAGGUUUUUCUUGUAUAACUUCUGUUAAAUUAUGAAGUGGAGAGUGUUUUUAGUGAUUUUAUUGAUGUGAGUGAAAUAAUGUUUCCAUGUAUGAUACUGUAUGUAUUUCAUGACCUUUUGCAAAUGUAACAUCUGUCUAGGGACUGCAGGUGGAAAUUAGCAUUUUUUUGCUAUAACCUGGCACAUGACAUCUCUUCUUUCUCUGUGCAUUGUCCCUGAUUAAGUACAAAUAAACUCAUUCAUUUA